GUAGGUGGCAAGCGUUGUCCGGAAUUAUUGGGGCGUAAAGCGCGCGCAGGCGGUUCUUUAAGUCUGAUGUGAAAGCCCACGGGCUCAACCGUGGAGGGUCAUUGGAAACUGGAGAACUUGAGUACAGAAUAGGAAAGCGGAAUUCCACGUGUAGCGGUGAAAUGCGUAGAGAUGUGGAGGAACACCAGUGGCGAAGGCGGCUUUCUGGUCUGUAACUGACGCUGAGGCGCGAAAGCGUGGGGAGCAAACAGGAUUAGAUACCCUGGUAGUCCACGCCGUAAACGAUGAGUGCUAAGUGUUAGGGGGUUUCCGCCCCUUAGUGCUGCAGCUAACGCAUUAAGCACUCCGCCUGGGGAGUACGGCCGCAAAGGCUG
rnacentral:rRNA from 1 species